rnacentral:lncRNA from 1 species
GGAGACGGUGAUGCGGGAGUCCUACCCCUACUUGUUUGAUGCUCAGAACUAAGGUAUGAAUUUUAGGCUUCGAGGACAAAACUUUUUGUAGUGGGGGAGGAUGUAGUAUCCGUAGGGUUUAAUUGACGGAAUGACUACAGUAUCAGUGACUGGUCGACACAUCUGGAGAGUGUCAGACUGAGUCGGAGUCGUUUCUGCACGAAAUGGAUGCAGAAAUGGACUUGGCACACUCAAAUAAGCAAAACUGGAGUUUUGCCAGU